rnacentral:rRNA from 1 species
GCAGCGGAAAGCUCAGUAACACGUGGCCAAACUACCCUGUGGAUGGGAACAAUCUCGGGAAACUGAGGCUAAUUCCCAAUAACGCUCCACCCCUGGAACGGGCGGAGCUGGAAACGCUACGGCGCCACAGGAUGUGGCUGCGGUCGAUUAGGUAGACGGUGGGGUAACGGCCCACCGUGCCAAUAAUCGGUACGGGUUGUGAGAGCAAGAGCCCGGAGACGGAAUCUGAGACAAGAUUCCGGGCCCUACGGGGCGCAGCAGGCGCGAAACCUUUACACUGUACGCAAGUGCGAUAAGGGGACUCCGAGUGUGAAGGCAUAGAGCCUUCACUUUUGUACACCGUAAGGUGGUGUACGAAUAAGGGCUGGGCAAGACCGGUGCCAGCCGCCGCGGUAAUACCGGCAGCCCGAGUGAUGGCCGAUAUUAUUGGGCCUAAAGCGUCCGUAGCUGGCCGGACAAGUCCGUUGGGAAAUCUGUUCGCUUAACGAGCAGGCGUCCAGCGGAAACUGUUCGGCUUGGGACCGGAAGACCUGAGGGGUACGUCCGGGGUAGGAGUGAAAUCCUGUAAUCCUGGACGGACCACCGGUGGCGAAAGCGCCUCAGGAGGACGGAUCCGACAGUGAGGGACGAAAGCUAGGGUCUCGAACCGGAUUAGAUACCCGGGUAGUCCUAGCUGUAAACGAUGCCCGCUAGGUGUGGCGCAGGCUACGAGCCUGCGCUGUGCCGUAGGGAAGCCGAGAAGCGGGCCGCCUGGGAAGUACGUCUGCAAGGAUGAAACUUAAAGGAAUUGGCGGGGGAGCACUACAACCGGAGGAGCUGCGGUUUAAUUGGACUCAACGCGGACAUCUCACCAGCUCCGACAGUAGUAAUGACGGUCAGGUUGAUGACCUUACCCGAUGCUACUGAGAGGAGGUGCAUGGGCGCGUCAGCUCGUACCGUGAG